UAAUUUAGUAGUUUUUUGUAAACUUUAUAAAUGUCAAUGAUAGUUACCUGAUAAAUUAGUAUCGUAGGUAAUGUUUUUUCCUUGAGUUAAAAAUCAGCUAGAAAAGUAAUUUAAAGCACGAUGUGUUUGAGAUUGUAGAUGUUGUAGAAACAUACAGCAGUGUACCUACUUAAUAAACUUUACCGCUGAAUAAGAAUUAAUUUAUUGAUCCUGUAUUCAAUAAGUAUAACUUUUCAUCUUCAAGGAAAUCUACUAUUAAGACACUACAAAUGGAAAUGGCACACUCUGAUGGAAUUUUAAGUUCGAUUCUUACUGCGAAUGAUUUUAACAGUGAUUAUUCAGCAAGGACCACUUUAAAUCUGCCAUUUAAGUCAUCAUGUUGAAGAAAGAUGCUGUCAUAUUGAAGUUUCGAGAAAGAGGGAAAAUUGUGAAGUUCGUCCCUGUUUUUUUGUGGUGCAUACGAAAACUGUUGCUGAAUUUUUCAUAAAAGCAUUUAACGACCACUUGGAAAUAUAUUUUCAAGCAAAUAUAGACUAACAAUUGGAACUCAAACUGUAUCAAACAGUUUAAAGUUAUGAAAAGAAAAUUAUUUUAUUUAAUAACAAUUAAGUAUUUUUAAUUUCUGUUUUACCACAAGGUUGUCAACGUUAAUUUUGAACAAUGAAGGUAAUGUAUUGCAUUUACAAUUGGAUGAAAUUUAUAUUACAGUGUGUUUUGUUUUUAAAUAAAAGUAUUAUGCUGUGAAA